UACGUAGGGUGCGAGCGUUGUCCGGAAUUAUUGGGCGUAAAGAGCUUGUAGGCGGUCUGUCGCGUCUGCUGUGAAAAUCCGGGGCUCAACCCCGGACUUGCAGUGGGUACGGGCAGACUAGAGUGUAGUAGGGGAGACUGGAAUUCCUGGUGUAGCGGUGAAAUGCGCAGAUAUCAGGAGGAACACCGAUGGCGAAGGCAGGUCUCUGGGCCACUACUGACGCUGAGGCGCGACAGCGUGGGGAGCAAACAGG
rnacentral:rRNA from 1 species